UACGUAGGGGCUAGCGUUAUCCGGAUUUACUGGGCGUAAAGGGUGCGCAGGCGGGAGAUUAAGUCGGCGGUGAAAUUUUGCAGCUCAACUGUAAAAGUGCCUUCGAAACUGGUUUCCUUGAGUGUAGAUGAAGUAGGCGGAAUUUGUGGUGUAGCGGUGAAAUGCAUAGAUAUCACGAGGAACUCCGAUUGCGCAGGCAGCUUACUAAACUACUACUGACGCUCAGGCACGAAGGCGUGGGGAUCAAACAGGAUUAGAUACCCCGGUAGUCCCU
rnacentral:rRNA from 1 species